rnacentral:rRNA from 1 species
UACGUAGGGGGCGAGCGUUGUCCGGAUUUAUUGGGCGUAAAGAGCGUGUAGGCGGCCAGGUAGGUCUGCUGUGAAAACUCGAGGCUCAACCUCGAGACGUCGGCGGAAACCAUCUGGCUAGAGUCCGGAAGAGGAGAGUGGAAUUCCCGGUGUAGUGGUGGAAUGCGUAGAGAUCGGGAGGAACACCUGUGGCGAAGGCGGCCAACUGGGCCGAACCUGACGCUGAGGCGCGAAGGCGUGGGGAGCGAACGGG